GCCGCGAUGGGGAGAGGACGUGGGAAGCAAGUAUGAUCAGGGGACGGAAAGCCUGAGAGUUUUGCUGCCAUCAUCCUCCGCAGGCCAGGACAAGCUCUUGAGAGAGUCCGGAUCUCAAGAACUAUUUACCUGGAGCUGGCUUCAAACCAUGAUCCUCUUGAUCUCUGCCUCCUGAGUAGCUAUGGUUGCAGGCGUGAGCCCCCAGUGCCAGCUCAGAAGUGUUGAAUGGUUGAGGUGAAAAAUCUGGUUUGAAAUCUCCAUGGAGGACUACAGCAUUUCAAUUGUGAAUCUGAAUCAAUUUCCCAAUUGACUUACUACUGUAUUAAAAAUGCUUUAAUUAAUUACAGUAUUUGUUUUGAAAACCUUUGAAGUUUUAUAAGAACU